GAAACGACGAUGCGGCGAAGCUGCCAUGCGCCGGAUUAUAACUGAACGCCUCUAAGUUAGAAUCCAUGCCGGAAGGAAAGCUCCUUACCGGCCCGGGGACGCCACGAGCAACGGUAGCACUGCCUGAGCCGCGAGCGACCACAAUUUACGGACCCGGGCCGAUGAAUCCCUUGCAGACGACUUGAAUAAGGAACGGGGUAUUGUACGCGGCAGAGUGG
rnacentral:rRNA from 1 species